CUAAGCCUCCAUCUUCAAAUCUUGCCGCUACUGUUUGUGUAUUCUGAAUCCCUAUUUUGCACCUUCUCUCCAUGCUUCUUCUUCACCUCAUCUGAUUUUUCAUCUUGUUGUUUCUCUGAUAUUUAAUCUCAUCGUGUUAUUGAUUUUUACUCUUUUGUGAUUCAGGUGCCUACUGCCUAUCAACAAGCAGAAGCAGGGAUCCAUAUGAGAAUGCAGGGAGUUGGAUCUGAGAUUAUUAAAAAAAGCAAAGAAAGGAGUUGGAUCUAUAAACGUCCAAAUAGUUGGAUCUACAAGUUUAUAUCUUUAAAACCAUAAGAGUUUUGCAGAUUAUGUUACUGCUAUAACUCCUUUUUGAGUUUUGAAGAGGAUCUGUUAUGUAGACUUAAGGAAAUUGUUUUGUUUCCUUCAAAUCCAUUAAAUAUCAGCAUAGAAAUUGAAGAAGUAGAAAAAAAGAAAUUGAAGAUAGGAAUUAAAGAUAAAUUGCCUAAGCUGGAGGAAGAGGAAUCAUCAAUGUUACAAACAAAUAUGGACAUUUGGACAAAUUUAAGUAGAUAAAAUUGAAUAAAAGAAAAAAUUGUAAUUGUCAAAUUUCUUUUUAAUUAAAAACUGUAUAAAUUAGUUUAAAAUCUUAAA